rnacentral:rRNA from 3 species
AAACUUUCAACAACGGAUCUCUUGGCUCUGGCAUCGAUGAAGAACGCAGCGAAAUGCGAUAAGUAAUGUGAAUUGCAGAAUCCAGUGAAUCAUCGAAUCUUUGAACGCACAUUGCGCCCGCCAGUAUUCUGGCGGGCAUGCCUGUCCGAGCGUCAUUU